rnacentral:RNase_P_RNA from 1 species
UGAGACCUCUUGAUGGCCGCGGCCGUGAUCUUCAUUGGGAUCGGCUGAGGAACUUCCGGGCUCCAUAGAGCACGAUGGCGGAUAACGUCCGCCCAGGGUGACCUGAGAGAUAGCGCAACAGAGAACAGACCGCCCGUCCUCGACGGGUAAGGGUGAAACGGCGGUGUAAGAGACCACCGGGCCUCUGGUAACAGUAGGUCGCAUGGCAAGCCUCAUCGGGAGCAAGGCCAAGCAGAUGGCGGUAAGGGCUGCUCGCCCGUGUCAUCGGGUAGGCUGCUAGAGCCUGGCGGCAACGUCNNNNNNNNNNUGUCAUCGGGUAGGCUGCUAGAGCCUGGCGGCAACGUCAGGUCGAGAUGGAUGGCCAUCCGUGCCGUGCGUUCGCGCACGGCACGACAGAACCCGGGGUAUAAGAGGUCUCAUUUU